AGAGCGAACGCUGGCGGCAGGCCUAACACAUGCAAGUCGAGCGCGUGUAGCAAUACACGAGCGGCAGACGGGAGAGUAACACGUGGGAACGCGCCCUUCGGUUCGGAAUAACUCAGGGAAACUUGAGCUAAUACCGGAUACGCCCUUACGGGGAAAGAUUUAUUGCCGAAGGAACGGCCCGCGUCCGAUUAGCUAGUUGGUGAGGUAACGGCUCACCAAGGCGACGAUCGGUAGCUGGUCUGAGAGGAUGACCAGCCUCACUGGGACUGAGACACGGCCCAGACUCCUACGGGAGGCAGCAGUGGGGAAUAUUGGACAAUGGGCGCAAGCCUGAUCCAGCCAUGCCGCGUGGAUGAUGAAGGCCUUAGGGUUGUAAGUCCUUUUAACGGGAAGAUAAUGACGGUACCCGUAGAAUAGCCCGGCUAACUUCGCGCCAGCAGCCGC
rnacentral:rRNA from 1 species